UCAGGUAAUAGACGUAGCCAGCUUAAGCCCGCGACACACGACAACGUCCCGCACCGUUGUCAUAUGACCUGUUCAAAUGGUUGGAAAUGUAAUUCACGGUGUUAGCCAGGGUCACAACACGGAGUGAAUUACCGCGGAGACGCACUUUAUCGAGUUGGUUGCGUUAUGAGUGUCUGAGUUGUGCUGAACCAGAAGUUGUUAACAACAGUGUGAUUGACAUUAACAGAGUUAAAUAUUUUAGCUGGCCUUGGAAUAAUUGGAAUGGAUCCGUUCAGAUUAUAAACGUGUCCGUCGUCUUUGGAGUACAGGUUGUGAUAGCGAUAGUGAGAGAGGCAGAUUGGAGUAUAGGUCUCGCUUUUUAUUAUUUAUUUACUUUUUAAUGAAUAUUUAUUUAAUUAAUCUAUGUAUUGAAACUCUGAAUUUCUUGCAGGAAGUGGAUAAAGAACAUUUAACACAGCAGGUCUUUCUUUACCUUUUUAAUCAACAAAGUAAUUGGCUGUUUCACGUCUUGUAGUACUAGUUUUUAUAUACCAUUGAAUGUUAGUUAAGCCAGGCAUUCAGGAAAUAUAAAACAUAAACAAAAGACUUUAGAUAUUGUCAAAUGAGAUGCACAGACACAUUAAGCAGGUAUAAUUCUAGUGUAUAUACAGACAGGAGUUUGCUGGAUCUAUAUUUGAUGAAUUUAAAGUUUUAUGCGCUGAAAUCUAAUGUGGUUUUCUGAUGUCUUACAGGUUCCAAUUAUCAGCAGGACAGCUAAAUUAAAUACAAUUCAAGAUUCUCCAUCCAAAGGCUCUGUAGUUGUGUGUAUGUGGCAGUGUAAACUGUGCUUAGUGGCAGUUGCAGGAAGAUUGGCAUUAUUGAACCACUACAAAUUGAAGCAUCCACACCUUGGGCGUACCAGCCGUUAUCCAUGUACGUUUUUAGAGUGCCCUUGCACAUUUAAAACAUGGAAUGCAUUACAUAUUCAUCACUCUCGGGAUCAUUCCACAAAUUAUAAAGCAGUAAAGGCACUAUCUGUAUUUAAGUGUCACAUUUGCUCGUGUAAGAAUUUGGGGAAUGAAAGAGAGUACUUUGCUCACAUAAAUGCUCAUUUAAAGAAGAAUGAAAAAGUGACUUGCAUGUUUGAUGGUUGUGAUUUUCAUACAAGUGUUUAUGGAACCUUUAGGUCACACAAAAGUCGUAGACACGCAUCUCAUUCUUUGACUGAUUUUAAACCCGGUAUUGUGACAACAAAUGCACCUCUGCCUUUUGAACUUUUACCCACUGAUGGCCAGGAAGAUGAGUGUGUGGAGAGCGACACUGUAGAGUCAGCUAAUCCCGAGGUCCUCUCAAGUGCAAUUGAGAAGCAACUUGCAGCAGCCUUACUCAAGUUGGAGUAUCUUGUUCAUGUGCCAGGUACGGCUGUAGAUGAUUUUUUAUAUGAGCUUAAUUAUUUAAGUUCAGCAUCUGUGCCACUUUCAAAAGCUAUAGUUGCUGAUAUCUUAAAGCGACUUAACUUUCAGGUUGAGGACUCGGUAGUUGCUAAUAUCAUUUCUGCAGUGUAUACAACCAAUCCAAUAUCAAAGGCUAUUGAAAAGGGAGGGCCACUUUCCAGUUCAUAUCAGCGUAAAAAAUACUACAGGGAUUGCUUCAGUGUUGUGGAACCUGUGACUUUUAUCCUUGAUGGUAAAAAGCGCAGAACCUUUCAAUAUGUCCCAAUUUUAAAGUCACUGCAGCAGGUCUUAAGUAGAAAAGGUAUUCUUGACAAACUCAUAGAAAAUCAUAAAGGAACAACAAGCCUUGAAAGAGACCCAUCUUAUGAAUACAGGUCAUUUAAAGACGGUAAUCAUUUUCAACAAAACAAGUUUUUGAAUAAUGAUGAGUUAAGAAUAUCAGUAUGUCUGUAUGUUGAUGAUUUUGAAACUUGUAAUCCCCUAGGCACCUCUAGAAAAAAGCACAAGCUUUGUGCUGUUUAUUGGUUGCUCUCGAACCUACCUCCAGGCUGUCAUUCCUCUUUAUCCUCCAUUUAUCUUGCUGUGCUUUGUAAGAGUGAUGAUGUCAAAAACUACAGUUUUGAUAAUGUUUUGGAACCUCUCUUAACAGACCUAAAAACCUUGGAGGACCAUGGUGUGUAUGUUCCGCUGUUAGGUACGUCUUUAAAAGGUACAGUGCAUAGUGUUGUUGCUGAUAAUUUAGGAGCACACAGUAUUGCUGGCUUCAUUGAGAGUUUUUCUGGAGAUUACUUCUGUCGUUUUUGCACAGCGAGAAGUUGUGAAAUCAGUUCUCAUUGUGUUGCAUCUGGUGUUUUUAAUUUGAGGACAAAAGAAGAACAUGCAGAACAUGUGCAAAUAGCUGUUGAGAACGUCACACAUCACUUGGCUGUAAAACGAGAGUGUGCUCUCACCAAGAACCUGUCACACUUUAAUGUUGUGACUGGAUAUCCCCCUGAUAUUGCUCAUGACAUAUUUGAGGGAAUUGUGCCAUUUGAAUUGGCGUACUGCCUGAAUUUUUUGAUAGCAAAGAAAUUUUUUACAUUAGAUGAGCUAAACAAAGCUAUAUUGUCAUUCCCAUACAAAUGGUCUGACAAGACCAACAAGCCUCAUGCUGUCCCUAAGAGUUUGUCCAGUCGGAAGUCCAUUGGAGGCAACGCCCAUGAAAAUUGGAGCUUGCUUAGGUUCCUCCCAUUUUUAAUUGGGUCUUGUGUUCCACAAAAUGAGCCAGCAUGGGUUGUGUUGCUGGAUUUGAAAGACAUUACUGAACUGGUUGUGGCCCCGGUGCAUACUGAUGAGUCCAUCUCAUACCUUGAAAGUAAGAUAGUUGAACACAGACAGAGGUUCCAAGAGCUGUUUCCUACUGUGAGACUUCUGCCAAAGCACCACUUCCUUGAGCACUAUCCUCGGUUGAUUCGUUGUUUUGGCCCUUUAUUGUCUGUCUGGACAAUGCGCUUUGAAGCCAAACAUAAAUAUUUUAAGCAGAUAGUGAAACAUACUAGUUGCUUCAAAAACUUACCUUUGACUUUGGCAUCAAAGCAUCAGUUUAUGAUUGCUUUCCACAUCAGUUCACCAUCUUAUGGUAAACCUUGCCUUGAUGUACCAUGUGUGUCCACAGUUCCAGUUGAUUUAUUGAAAGAUGAGGUGGCUCGGGCUAUUCAUUUAAAAUAUCCCAACACUGAUGAAGUAAAUCUUGCAAAAAAUGCAACAUAUUGGGGUAUUGCCUACAGCAAGGGCAUGAUAGUAGCACAUGGAUCGGCAUGUGGAUUACCAGAGUUUGCUGAAAUUAUCCAGAUGUGCAUCAUCGAUGGGAACUUGUUUGUUAUAGUGAGAGUGCUGUGUGCUUGGUAUAUUGAACACUACAGAGCCUUUGAGCUAAGGUUGUCUCCUGCAAGAGAAGUCAAGCUAUUAGCACUAAGUGAACUGACUGAUGCCUAUCCAUUAGCUGCCUACAUGGUUGGAUCCAGCCGAAUGGUAACUUUAAAAAGGCACAUCCACAUUAAAGGUUGGUUACUAAAUGUCCUAGCUUUGUUUAUUCAUAACGCAUUUUGCGUGUUUUGGCUGUACAUCCUAAAAAGUUCUCAGUUUUUUCCCCCACUGCAUUCUUUCAUAAUUUUUAUUAAUUUUUAUGUGUUUACUUUUGAUGAUCUAAUGCACAGUGACUUUCCAUCUUUCACUCUAUAAAUUCUUGUGGCAUGUUAGUCUGUCCUAUUUCUCUCUUGGGCCUCUUAAAGUUGCUGAGUGGUUAGUUUUACUGUCUAAAUGCAUUUUUAACUACUCGAAAAAAAGUAACUUUUAUUCAUCCUCUUGACAGAUUGAAACCUGUGGUCAUGGCGGCUCUUUUGAAAGUCAUCCUUGGAGACAACAACAGUCAACGCUUGACUUUCCCAGAUGGACUUCCAACAUCUGUCAGUGAACUUGUUGAUAUUGUGCAGAGACAGUGUGCUAUUCAGACAAACUUCAGGCUUCAGUUCAUGGAUCCCCUAUUUAACAAUGAGUUCAUGAACCUCACUUCAAUGGAUGAAGUGACAGAUCGUGGAACAAUCAGAGUAAUCUAUAUGACAGGCAUCUUAACCCCGCAGCGCGUAGAGGUCCAGAUUUCUUCAGGAAGUGCUUGUAACUAUAGUUUUCUGGAAGAAAGCUCAUCAGUGUCUAGUGGUGGUGUAGAUACUGACAUUCUGUCUUCACCGGAAUCAGACGCAUCCACCUCUUCAACCUCCAGGACAUUUUGGCCUAGCACUUUCAGUGUUCCACAGUUUGGCUUUGAUGCAGAGUUAAAACUUGAAAGAGGCAAUGCAGCAUUCAAAGAGAAUGGCGUAGUGCUUAUCCCAGAUCUUAAACUCAAGUCAAACAUUUUAGAGGGUCUGAUUCAAGAAAUUGUCAAAUACAAAGUUUAUGUCACAGACAGAGAGUUUGACAUGGUUGGUGAGGCACUCCUCUCCAAACACCCUUGUCUAACAGAGAGGGGCUCAGUGACAGGAUAUGCUGGUUGGAAGGCAAGCUUAAAGAAUAAACUUGCGAUUUACCGUACCCAUUUGAGAAAACUGGGAUGUCCUGAGGUUUUGGUGAACUCUGUUAAGCACAAGCCUGAGGGUAAAUCAAGUGCUGCCUCUGCCAUCAAAAGACCAAGACGUUCUGAAGUGAACUACUGCCCCCCUUAUCCCACUGGAGAAUCAGAUCAGAGUCUGGAGGGUCUGAGAGUGGAACUCCUAUCAGAUGUGAAGAAGCGGAACAACAGGGAGGCAGUGAGAAGGAAAAUGGACCAGACCUUCGCACACAGGAGGUAUGAAGUGGUUCGAGACAAACCAAUGGUUGAAGAUUUCAAGAACAGAUGGCCAGCCCUCUUCGAUGUAACUGAGAUAAAUUUAGAGUUCAAACGCAUCACCACCAUACCGCUACAGUCAAGGUUUUUAUCUCGGAUAGACGUGCUGUCCGGCAAACUCCUCAGACUGUUUGAGCGAAGAGGUGGACAGAUGGGGAGAGUGCUCAAAGAUAUUGUGGCACCCAUGGCUCAGGAUGACGAUGUUGACCUCGGUCGAGGUUGUAUCAUCAAAGGACUGUGUGUGUACCUCAAUGAGGAACCAGGAAACUUAGUCAAAGAAUAUGUGGGCGCAGACGAAACCAAUGAAAGAUCCAUCGAGGAGACCACUGUUGGCAUUUACGUCCUGAAAGCAGACUGCAACUCAAACCCAGAUGACAUCGGCAUAGUGAUUGAAGGACAGGUGGUCUUGCAGGAACUGGACAACUUUCCGUUAGCUGUUGCCAUGUUGUUUGGCUUGAUUUACACACUGAACCUCGACUACCCUCGUGACCUCAAAUAUACAUUUGAGGUGCUCCAAAAAAUCAUCAUGGAGCUGGAGGGCACCACUCUUUCCAAAAAAGCGCAAGUGCUCAAGAACAGACUCUGUGAAUGAGUAUUUUAUCUGUCAAUGCAGAUUUUCUAAGUGUUUACAGAGAAAAGGUUAGGUGUUCCUCAGUUUUUGAAAUUUUACAGUUACUAUAUAUUUUUGAUAUGAAAAUAGUAUAUUUUUUCAUUCUUGCAGCUAAAGAGUCUUUUUUUUUUUUUUACUACUGGAGCUUGUUCGUAAUGUUUUGUGUAAAGCCGAAGGACACCAUGCUCUGCAAGAUGGCUCAAGAAUUUAAGAACCGUACUGUUGGUGAUUUCAAAGUGUUCAGAAGAAACUUUAUACACUGGUUUUCCUCAGUGUUGGAUAUGCUUUAAAUAUGUCGUGCUGUGAUAUGUGUUUGCACAGUACUGUAUAUUUUUGAUGUUCAGUGCCUAAAAAUGUGUCUGCACAGUACUCCAUUUUUUGAUGUGCAAUUUUUAGUGCUUCAAGACUUGUUUGCACGGUAUUGCAUAUUUGUGAUUCACAUUUUUAUUGUUUAUUUUUAUGUAAAGACCUGUUUUCAAAGUAUUGCAAUUUUUGGAUGUGCAGUUUUUUUGAAGGUUCAUGAAAAAUGUUCUAAACUACAGCUGCUUUGUAAUGCUUUAGUGUUGAACAUCAGCAUGUCAAAGCAUUUUUGACAGUUUUGAAUUCUGUAAUUCAUCUUUGAAUUAAAAGUGGCUCAAGAUA